rnacentral:rRNA from 1 species
UGGGGAAUAUUGCGCAAUGGGGGGAACCCUGACGCAGCCAUGCCGCGUGAAUGAAGAAGGCCUUCGGGUUGUAAAGUUCUUUCGGUAUUGAGGAAGGUUGAUGUGUUAAUAGCACAUCAAAUUGACGUUAAAUACAGAAGAAGCACCGGCUAACUCCGUGCCAGCAGCCGCGGUAAUACGGAGGGUGCGAGCGUUAAUCGGAAUAACUGGGCGUAAAGGGCACGCAGGCGGUUAUUUAAGUGAGGUGUGAAAGCCCCGGGCUUAACCUGGGAAUUGCAUUUCAGACUGGGUAACUAGAGUACUUUAGGGAGGGGUAGAAUUCCACGUGUAGCGGUGAAAUGCGUAGAGAUGUGGAGGAAUACCGAAGGCGAAGGCAGCCCCUUGGGAAUGUACUGACGCUCAUGUGCGAAAGCGUGGGGAGCAAACAGGAUUAGAUACCCUGGUAGUCCACGCUGUAAACGCUGUCGAUUUGGGGAUUGGGCUUAAAGCUUGGUGCCCGUAGCUAACGUGAUAAAUCGACCGCCUGGGGAGUACGGCCGCAAGGUUA